CCGCAUCCUCAAUCUUUCCACAGCUUCAAUGUUCUCCUUGCUUUCAUUGAAGGAAAAAAAAGUACUAUUUCAUUCAUGCCAUUUCCGUUCAUUCAUCAGCGCGCAGGCCAGCAUACCCUCCGAGUUCCAUCUCCUCUUAUCAAUGGAGCUGACGUCAGUCGCGCCGCAUCACGAGGUCAGGGGAGGGGGGGAUAUAAAGGAAAGUUGCGCUGACCGUGGUGCUGAAAACUCUCCUCACGACGCAAAGAUGCUACAACUAUAAAGUGUUUUGGUUUUUUUGUUGGGUUUUUUUUGGGACACUUUGUUCGUUGAGAAACAAAAAAACAUCACAAAACUGUUAACUCCCCCCCAAAAAAAUAAAAAUAACUAAUAUCACACGUCCAGAUAGUUGAUAGUCCAGUCGCCCGAGAGAAGAGGUUGAAGAAGUUGAAACUGUUUAUUAAUCAUUUAUGAAGUGUAGACUGAGAGACUAGCAGAGGCACAAGGUACAGCACUUCAUCCCUCGCAGGAAUACAGGUGCUCGGACCCCCCCUCCUGCCCGUUCUGCAUGGUCAUGACCAAUCACUACGCACCCUCCACAGCCCGACUCGUCCUAUUGGUCCUGCUCACUGUCACUCCACGGCUGACCGCCACCCCUGUGGGUGGGGAUGGGCAGGGGGAGGGGCACUCUAGGACUCACCUUAAAGAGGACAGCCCCAGCCCCCUCCGCUACCCCUUGGACCAGACCCAGGACCAGAUAGAGGACCAGGUACAGAGCCAGGAACAGAGCUAUGGUGGUCCCACAAACAUGGACCCUGCCCGGGCUCUAGCCGCUAUGCUACUGGAGGCCCUGGACCACACUGGGAGAGGACAGACAAAGGAGAGAGGAGAGGGGGACCCAGUCCCUUUGGAGGAGAGGAGGGAUGAGGAGACAAGGAGAGAGGUUGGGAGAGAGGAGGAGGAGGAGGAGGAGGAGAGGAGGGAUGAAGAGACAAGGAGAGAGGGUGGGGGAGAGAAGGAUGGAACGGCUAGGACCAGCACUAGUGGCAGUAGCUCUGGGAGAGGAGUUAAGAGAGAUAGAGGAAGAGGAGGAGAGGGAGGAGAGGAAGAGGUCGGAGGACAGAGGCUGGCUUCUAGAGGUAGAGGGGGACAGAGCUGGUGGUGGGAGUGAGGAGGGAGGACAGCAGAAGGAAGAGGAGGAGGAGGAGGAAGAAGGAGAAGCAGGGAGAUGGGGAAGUGAGAAGGAGAAAAGAGCAGAGGGUAGUAGGACAGGAGAAGAGGGGAGGCCUAUUGACCUCCAGCGGAAGGCUCGGGGCUACUUCCAGAACAUAGACCUCGGUCUCCAAGACAACGAGAUUCUUCCCCCUCUGAAGGGGUAUAAGGCCUACAACACCCAGCUGGCACAAGCUGGGAAAAAGUUGCACUGGGAGGAAGAGCGGGCACGCAACACACCCUUGGGGGGCAACUUCAUGGACGACUUUGAGAACGAAGCAGAGGAGGAGGAGGAGGCGGCUCUGUCGAUGGUGGAAGAGGAAGAGGCUCGGGCGCGUGCAGAGCAGCAGGAGGUGCAACGGCAGCAGGAGGAGGCAGAGCGGGCUAGAGAGGAGGAGCAGAGGCUGGCGGACAUCGCCUCGGACAUGUUGCUUCAGUACAUGGGGAGACAGAAGCAGCAGCGGGCGCCCUACCUCACGGCCAGACAGAAGGCCGGCGCCAACGCCGCUGAAGACAAGCGCUCCGAGGAGGUGGUAACCGACGGCGACGACCUGGACCAGCAGAUGAUCGACAGGCUGAUCGAAAUCAGCAGCAAGCUGCACCUGCCGGCCGACGACGUGGUCCAGAUCAUCUCCAACGUAGAGGAGAAGAAGAAGAAGAGGAAGGAGCUGACGUCGCUUAGCAACCCGGUCGCCCCGCGUUACCGACCCUUAGUUCCCCCUCCUCUAGUGACGGGCCCCAUGUACCACUACACAGCCUCCUCUAACCCCAAGAAGGACCCUUACCCUUACCAGCCCUACAAGAACAAGUGGAACAAUGACAGAGCCAAGGCUAAGGCCUACAAGCAGGACGUCUGGUUCAAACCCCAGAAACAGUUCCUAGCCUUCCCGUCCUACCCCUACUAUCAGAAACCCUACCGAGCAUACUACCCUGUGUUCUUCCCCUACCCCAAACCCCAGUACUACGACAAUACUCCCAUGGGGGAGGAGCUACCCCACAGCCCGCCCUCGGACUAUGAGCUUCGACCUACCAGGCGCAGACACAGGGCCGGGGGAAGGGCCAGAGGUGGAAGUAGGCAUGGCUGGAGACAGCAGCCCCUCCCACCCCGUCUUCCUUCCUCUCCUUACAUCUCCAAUUACAUCCUGCCACACCCACGGACAUAUCAGCCCCUGCCUAAACCCCUCUCCCCCCAGAACAGGGGCAGGCAUCCCCAGUACUACUACCCACCAGGGCCUGGGGGCUUGGGUGUAGCUGGGGGGAGGGCAGGAGAGGACUAUGAAGACGACCAUGGGCUGGUUCCACAGCUGGACAGUCAAGAGGAAUUGGAGAACUUUAUAUCGAAAAUAUACAUGAAACGCAGAAUGUACUAGAGACAGAAGGACAGACAGACACUACCGUAGGACAAAAGGGACCAAACAGGGGGAGGGUAGAGAGUAAAUAGGCUAGAUGAGAGAGAGAGAGAGAGAGAGAGAGAGAGAGAGAGAGAGAGAG
rnacentral:lncRNA from 1 species